rnacentral:tRNA from 1 species
GUUUCAGUGGUGUAAUGGUUAGCACUAUCGCCUUCCAAGCGGUGAAUCCUGGUUCGAUUCCUGGCUGAUACA